rnacentral:rRNA from 1 species
CCUACGGGUGGCAGCAGUGAGGAAUAUUGGUCAAUGGACGCAAGUCUGAACCAGCCAUGCCGCGUGCAGGAAGACGGCUCUAUGAGUUGUAAACUUCUUUUGUACGAGGGUAAACGCAGAUACGUGUAUCUGUCUGAAAGUAUCGUACGAAUAAGGAUCGGCUAACUCCGUGCCAAGAGCCGCGGUAAUACGGAGGAUUCAAGCGUUAUUCGGAUUUAUUGGGUUUAAAGGGUGCGUAGGCGGGAGGAUAAGUUAGUGGUGAAAUCACGAGGCUAAACUUCUGUAUUGCAUUUGAUACUGGUCGGCUAGAGAGUAGGUGAGGUAGGCGGAAUGUAUGGUGUAGCGGUGAAAUGCUUAGAGAUCAUACAGAACACCGAUUGCGAAGGCAGCCUACCAAGCUACUUCUGACGUUGAGGCACGAAAGCGUGGGGAGCAAACAGGAUUAGAUACCCUAGUAGUC